rnacentral:rRNA from 1 species
AUGUAUUGCCAACAGGGGCGCAGAUGUAAGCCUCUUGGAAAAGAGAAUCAUUGAGGGUGAGAAUCCUGUUUGUCAUCUGCAGUCCUCUGUGUACGGCAUGCGUUCUAAGAGUCACGUUCCUCGGGAUUGGAGCGCAAAUUGGGUGGUAAAUUUCAUCUCAAGCUAAAUAUGGGUUCGAAACCGAUAGCAAACAAGUACCAUGAGGGAAAGAUGAAAAGGACUUUGAAAAGAGAGUUAAAAGUGCCUGAACUUGCUGAAAGGAAAGCGGAUGGAACCAGUGUUGCUUAGUGAGAUUGUUGCGCGCUAAGGUGAUGGCCUGCUGCAUCAGCGCAAGCGUUGCUGUGGGUUUUGAUCUGGUUGCGCGUGAUGCUUCUUGCUUUGAACGUCAUCUGGGGUUUGGAGGUGCUGACAACUCUUGGGACAUGGUAGCUCGCCUCUGGGUGAGCGAACGUGCCAAGCAGAACGUACCCCCAGACCUCUCGUCCUUGUGCGGGAGUUCUGCGCGCGGCAUGGUGACUGAAUGGUUCUAUUCGACCCGUCUUGAAACACGGACCAAGGAGUCUAACAUAUGUGCAAGUUCUUGGGUGGUGAAACCUACGUGCGCAAUGAAAGUGAUUACUGAGAUGCUUGCAUCAGCAGCCGACCGAUCAAUUGGGAGAGGUUUGAGCAUGAGCAUAU